GACGAACGCUGGCGGCGUGCUUAACACAUGCAAGUCGAACGGAGAGGCCCUGCUUUUGUGGGGUGCUCGAGUGGCGAACGGGUGAGUAACACGUGAGUAACCUGCCCUUGACUUUGGGAUAACUUCAGGAAACUGGGGCUAAUACCGGAUAGGAGCUCCUGCUGCAUGGUGGGGGUUGGAAAGUUUCGGCGGUUGGGGAUGGACUCGCGGCUUAUCAGCUUGUUGGUGGGGUAGUGGCUUACCAAGGCUUUGACGGGUAGCCGGCCUGAGAGGGUGACCGGCCACAUUGGGACUGAGAUACGACCCAGACUCCUACGGGAGGCAGCAGUGGGGAAUAUUGCACAAUGGGCGGAAGCCUGAUGCAGCAACGCCGCGUGCGGGAUGACGGCCUUCGGGUUGUAAACCGCUUUCGCCUGUGACGAAGCGUGAGUGACGGUAAUGGGUAAAGAAGCACCGGCUAACUACGUG
rnacentral:rRNA from 1 species